AUAUAUAAAGCAAUACUGCAUUUAGUUUCGACCUAAAAGAAAGAUUAAUAAAUUAAUCUAUAUAUAGCCCUCCCGAAAUUAAAUAUUA
rnacentral:tRNA from 1 species